rnacentral:rRNA from 1 species
AACGAACGCUGGCGGCAGGCUUAACACAUGCAAGUCGAGCGCCCCGCAAGGGGAGCGGCAGACGGGUGAGUAACGCGUGGGAAUCUACCCAUCUCUACGGAAUAACGCAUGGAAACGUGUGCAAAUACCGUAUACGUCCUCCGGGAGAAAGAUUUAUCGGAGAUGGAUGAGCCCGCGUUGGAUUAGCUAGUUGGUGGGGUAAAGGCCUACCAAGGCGACGAUCCAUAGCUGGUCUGAGAGGAUGAUCAGCCACACUGGGACUGAGACACGGCCCAGACUCCUACGGGAGGCAGCAGUGGGGAAUAUUGGACAAUGGGCGCAAGCCUGAUCCAGCCAUGCCGCGUGAGUGAUGAAGGCCCUAGGGUUGUAAGGCUCUUUCACCGGUGAAGAUAAUGACGGUAACCGGAGAAGAAGCCCCGGCUAACUUCGUGCCAGCAGCCGCGGUAAAAC